AUCUAAACCCCGAAAACAAGUUUCAAGCGAAACUCAAUGACAAUGUAAAAUAGCAGUCUGCCAGUUGCCUUCUUAGAGUUAUCACCUAAAAUCCCGUGUUUCUUCCUUCUUCGCAAACACAGUUUUGACUUCCCUCAUAGGUCUAUAACAAUUUGUUCCAUUUUAAAAGCGUAUUUUCUUCGUAGCUUCAUCAUUUUAUCGUGCCCUACCGUUUAUUUUAUUCACCCUAUUUUGAUGAUGCGCCUUCUUAUUUUCUUCUUUCACGGCAACGUGCGAUGACCUGACGGAGAAAAGAAAAAUUUCUCAGCAACAUCAGCAAAUUUUGUGGUUUUGUUUGAGUUGCGACGACGCCAAAGGAUCUGAAUUAAAAAGCGCUCAUCCAGUCGUGCAAUAGCUUGGCAGCCUGCUUCUUAUAGGCCUACUCUUAUAGGAAUAGGUCCUAUAUUAUUGCUAUUUAUUUUUGACAAGAGAGAAAUGAGGGUAGCUGUUCUUCUUAUAGCAUUCGCCUCACUAGCUCUUUGUUCCUAUUUUGUCGACGCUGGCUGACCAAUUGCAGAAAAUGGAAAAGUUUGUCGAUCACAAUGUUUGAAAAACUUCAGAUUGGACUACUUCACAUGCGCUACUAACUUGUUUGAGCCGUGGGAGGAACAAUAAAGAAAAAUGUAAUCCAGCACGAGUAAUAGGGAAUGGAAAAUCCGUGUUAACAAAAACCCAACUAGAAUUCUGCAUGAGCGAGUGUAACACACAAGGAUACUCUUAUACCUGGUGCUGGACGCACACGAGCUGGGACUAUUGCGAAACAAGUUCGACUAGGGUUCGGCAACAUAUAACCAGAUGGGGUGAAUAUUGCACAGGACAUAACGCCAACACAAUGCAAAUAAAAACAAGUAAAAUGGGAAGCAAGUACUUUUCAGAGAGUUAGACCAAGCCGGGCACUGUCUGAGGCCCAGCACACAAUGUGUAAUUUAUGUCCACAGCGGCUGAGGAUCUGGGGGAGCCAACUGAAGUAGAUUAUUAGGAACAGGAACUUACUUUUAGUAAUGGGCAAAGCAUUGAAUUUUACUUACGAACAACAACAACAUCGGCCACGCCUAUUACCCCCCAGAAUUAUGGGGGGCUCUUUAGGCUAAAUUUGCUAUUACCCCCCAUAAUUCUUUGGGGCUCUAGUGAUCGAAUAUGCUAUUACCCCACAGAAAACGGAGUAGAAUUUACCACUAGGUAUAGAUAUAAUUACUGUUAUUGAAUUUAUGUUGUCAAAUAUUUACAGCAAAAAUAAUAAAU